CCUCAGUCUCUCCAAACCGGGAUUCCCCUUUGGCCAUCUCUCAUUCUUUCAAUUCUAAAGAUGGAGACUGGUGAACGGCGGUGGGGUCUGCGGUGGGCGGUGUUUCGUCGCGACAGACUCUAGGAAAUUUCACGAUAGAACUAGCUUUAGGCGCUUGAGCCUUGCCGUCUUCUUGGGGUGUGGCCUGUCUCCGUCUGCCAAAGGCUUUGAGCUUCCUGGUGUUCAUCGUACCUCCGCUUGGUCCUGUCGUGACUAAACCACGACAGCAGGAAAAAAAAAAAAAAAAGCAGCUAGCCAAGUUGCUGAGGAAUUACGGUGUGCAGAGCCCUCGCAGCUCCUUCUCUUGGGAACUCCUGGUCUGGUUAGGUUCUCAGCGAGGAAACAGCCUCCCACCCCGCCCGAUUCCACCUAAUCAACUCAAGGGCCAGCUCCUUUUGCUGGCCUCCCUGCUUCCACGGAGCAGUUAGGCCCGCCUAAACUCAGCGAGCGUUUCUGGAGCACCUUGAGGAUAGGGACCAAGUAACAGAGUCCGGGUGUUGAGGUUAUGAUAGUAGUUAACGUUUUCGGAAAGAGACUGUGUCAGGCUCUGUGCUAAGAACUUUACAUGAAGUAUUUAUUCCUCAUGACUGUGAGCUCCUCUAGGACACUGAAAAAGCAUCCUAACAUGCUCAAGACAGGAUAGGAAAUGGUCCUCUGGCUUGAAAGACUCAGCAUCCAGAAGUAGUACCUCACUCUCCAUCCAGUGAUCACCCCCCAGAAAUGUGCUCUCCCUGUCUCACCAGGCCCUACCCACCUGCCUGGGAGCUGCCUGCCUCUUGAUGUGCUGACACCUGCUCCUGCUGCUGCUGCUGUUGCUGCUGCUGCUGCUGUUGCCGUUCUCUCAAGGGCUGGCGGAACUGAGCAGCCCCCAGGAC